GAUGAACGCUAGCGGCAGGCCUAACACAUGCAAGUCGAGGGAGGAGCUUUCGGGCUUCGACCGGCGUACGGGUGCGUAACGCGUAUACAAUCUGCCUUUCACAUAGGGAUAGCCCGAAGAAAUUUGGAUUAAUACCUAAUGGUAUAUAGAGGUGGCAUCACCUUUAUAUUAAAGCUGAGGCGGUGAAAGAUGAGUAUGCGUUCUAUUAGCUAGUUGGAGAGGUAACGGCUCCCCAAGGCGACGAUAGAUAGGGGUUCUGAGAGGGAUAUCCCCCACACUGGUACUGAGAUACGGACCAGACUCCUACGGGAGGCAGCAGUGAGGAAUAUGGGACAAUGGUCGGAAGACUGAUCCAGCCAUGCCGCGUGCAGGAAGACGGCCUUAUGGGUUGUAAACUGCUUUUGCAGGGGAAGAAUAAGGACUACGCGUAGUUUGAUGACGGUACUCUGCGAAUAAGCAUCGGCUAACUCCGUG
rnacentral:rRNA from 1 species